rnacentral:rRNA from 1 species
GAUGAACGCUGGCGGCGUGCUUAACACAUGCAAGUCGAACGGAAAGGCCAGUGCUUGCACUGGUACUCGAGUGGCGAACGGGUGAGUAACACGUGGGUGAUCUGCCCUGCACUUCGGGAUAAGCCUGGGAAACUGGGUCUAAUACCGGAUAGGACAAUGGUUUGGAUGCCGUUGUGGAAAGUUUUUUCGGUGUGGGAUGAGCUCGCGGCCUAUCAGCUUGUUGGUGGGGUAAUGGCCUACCAAGGCGUCGACGGGUAGCCGGCCUGAGAGGGUGUACGGCCACAUUGGGACUGAGAUACGGCCCAGACUCCUACGGGAGGCAGCAAUGGGGAAUAUUGCACAAUGGGCGCAAGCCUGAUGCAGCGACGCCGCGUGGGGGAUGACGGCCUUCGGGUUGUAAACUCCUUUCGCUAGGGACGAAGCGUAUUUGUGACGGUACCUGGAGAAGAAGCACCGGCUAACUACGUG